UUACGGUAAUUACUGAUUUUCAAACAAGUUGUGCUCUUGCGGGUUUUAACCAAUUUUUCUCAAACUUUCACAGGACAUAGCUCAAGACGUCAGUUUCAAAAUUGUGUUCGGCUUUUUUUUAAUUUUGGAUAUUUUAAAAAUAAAGAGCAAUUCACUCAAACAAUUCAGAAAUAUAUUGCAGUCGUCAAAGAAAUCGCCAUAUUAGCGGAAUGACGAAAUAAACAAAAAUUUCCGAACACAGUUUUUUAGAACAACUAUUUUACUGUAUAAAAAUGAUAUUUUCAUAAAUAUAACUUAAAACCAGCAGGAGCACAACUCAAAAGCGUAACGACACCGCGAUUUAAGAUUUUCCUGAAUAAUUCUUACAUUAUUUUAUUGUUUGUUAAUUUUACAACUUUACCAUAUUUUGCAUGAACUGGAGAACAUUUGGUGAAAAUUUGAUGAAAAUCGGACUGAUAUUGAGCGCGCAGUAGCGAACUUUGAUAAGUUAACAAAUUCAUACUAAAACUUGCGGAGCAGUAAAUUCUGUUGCUUUAUUUAUUUGGUUAUUUUACAAAUUUAAAGUUUUACGUGCGUAUUUUAAGCCUGGUGUGGAAAUUAAGCCUGGCCCCGAGCUAAGGGGAAACUUCCGACGUUUAUGCCUACUAGUAAAGUUAUAUUUUAUAGUACGCAACAUUCUUCUGUCGGCCGCCAGUUUAAAAUGUUCAAAAUAAAAUAUUUUGGGGCUUUUGGGCUCAAAAUAUUAUCAAAAUGAAGAGGGAAGUGAGACGAAUCCACUGGUGUACGGCCGAAAAAGAGAAAACCAAUGAUACCAAAGUUAUCAAGGAUCAAACGUACUGCAUCUUUUAUAUUAAAUUGAGCGAGUUGUCAACAAAUAAUACAAUUUCGCUUGGCUUUCAAAGUCAGAGGCCAUUAAUCGCUAGAAUACUGUUGUCAGUUGUUUAGUAAUACAUUUGACAUCCGUAGGUACAAUUUCUCAUCCGUAAGUACAAUUUCUUGCGCUGAAUCGAACGGUGGUAUUUUUAUUUUUAUUGCGCCAUUAAUUAGGCAAUACAAAUACAAGGUCAAGGACAAACGCACUGCGAGUGAUUUGAUGUCAACAAUACAAUUUCGCUUGAUUUUCUAAGGCCAUAAAUCGCUAGAAUACUGCUGUUUAGUACUACAUUUGACAUCCAUAAGUACAAUUUCUUACGCUGAAUCGAACGGUGGUAUUUUUAUCCUUAUUGCGCCAUUUAUAAGAGGCAUUACAAAUUACAAUAUAUGUUUCGCACUGAGUACACUACAGACAGUUUUCACCAUAGAUAUCUUAUAUCUAUGGUUUUCACGGACUGUUGUUCGAUAAAUUUUAUAUUGAUAUGACACCAAUAUGCUUCUCAUAAAGUAGUUAUAAUUUAAACUGCACAACGUAGUUUUAAUAAAUAACCUUUUACCUUGAAAUUGUCUUUGGCUCCUUUAUAUCAGUUCAGAUUCAGUAUAUUAUGAUCGUGCACGGGAAUUCAACGAUCCAAAUUUCGGAUUUUCAGAGUCGUGCACCAAGAAAAACGCAUUAAAUAAACUAGCAUGAAUGUCCAGAGUUAGACACAAAGCAAAAUCCAUAGAAAACAGGUACAAUUCGG